CACCAUUUUUUAUUCCCUCUAAUCUAUAAGACAGUUGUCAAUUUGUCAUAAUUUCAUUUCAACGAGUAUAGGAAGUGAUGGAUGCUUUUCAGCAAGAUAGUUGUAAUCUAAUCGACUCUGGUACUCAACCGCACGUGCUUCAGGGUAAGUUAUAUAAGACAAUGCGAACGAAUUGCGUAUUCGACAAUACGGAUUUCCACUCCACCCGAAGAUGUCGACCGAUAGUACGCAGGGAAUAUUCAGCGAAAAUGCGGGGCCUCAACGGAGAUCUCGUCAAAUAAUUUUCGGUUGGGACCGGUUCAGUUUCUCGACCGUGCUUGCACUUGCAGGGUCCUUUGUCGUUUGGGGUGUCGUCUACUUUUCGCUCUACGAACCCGGGGAGAUCGAGCCUUGUCACUGACAGCAGGAAGUAAUGUGAGAACGAGAAGAAGGAUGGAUUUUUCUUGCACGGUUAUUCAACGCCCGGAAGUCACGAUACCGACUUUAAUCGAGAUUCGACUAUCUCUGACGCAGGCGGGCAGUUUCCAAACCAAAGACCAUCGACCAGUGAUAAUUCAUCGAAAAUUUAAUCCUCUUCUCAUCCCCUCGACGAACUCGGCACGAAAAUGGAUCAUGCUUUAGGAUUAAGAUGCGACGAAAAUUUCUCGGAAGACAAAUGCGCGAUAAUAUACGGAAAUGGAGUUAAUUGAAACCCUUGAAACACUUGAAACACAAUAUACGUAAGACCAAACUCCAGCACGCCGUAUUAUUCACGGAUUUGAAUCUUUUGACUAUUGUUAAUAAACGCAGGACUAAAGUGAAAUAAGAUAUUAACGAA